UACAGGGGGUGCAAACGUUGCUCGGAAUCAUUGGGCGUAAAGCGCACGUAGGCGGUUCGUUAUGUCGGAUGUGAAAGCCCUUGGCUUAACCGAGGAAGUGCAUCCGAAACUGGCGAGCUAGAGUACGAAAGAGGAUCGCGGAAUUCCCGGUGUAGAGGUGAAAUUCGUAGAUAUCGGGAGGAACACCUGUGGCGAAAGCGGCUCACUGGACCACAACUGACGCUGAUGCACGAAAGCUAGGGGAGCAAACAGG
rnacentral:rRNA from 1 species